rnacentral:rRNA from 1 species
GACGAACGCUGGCGGCGUGCUUAACACAUGCAAGUCGAACGGUAAGGCCCUUCGGGGUACACGAGUGGCGAACGGGUGAGUAACACGUGGGUGAUCUGCCCUGCACUUCGGGAUAAGCCUGGGAAACUGGGUCUAAUACCGGAUAGGACCACUGCCUGCAUGGGUGGUGGUGGAAAGCUUUUGCGGGGUGGGAUGGGCCCGCGGCCUAUCAGCUUGUUGGUGGGGUGAUGGCCUACCAAGGCGACGACGGGUAGCCGGCCUGAGAGGGUGACCGGCCACAGUGGGACUGAGCUACGGGCCAGGCUCCUACGGGAGGCAGGAGUGGGGAAUAUUGCACAAUGGGCGCAAGCCUGAUGCAGCGACGCCGCGUGAGGGAUGACGGCCUUCGGGUUGUAAACCUCUUUCAGCACCGACGAAGCGCAAGUGACGGUAGGUGCAGAAGAAGGACCGGCCAACUACGUGCCAGCCGCCGCCGUAAAAC